rnacentral:rRNA from 1 species
CACGUAGGGGGCGAGCGUUGUCCGGAUUUACUGGGCGUAAAGCGCACGUAGGCGGAUCUUUAAGUCAGAGGUGAAAUCCCGGAGCUCAACUUCGGAACUGCCUUUGAUACUGGGGAUCUCGAGUUCGGGAGAGGUGAGUGGAACUGCGAGUGUAGAGGUGAAAUUCGUAGAUAUUCGCAAGAACACCAGUGGCGAAGGCGGCUCACUGGCCCGAGUACUGACGCUGAGGUGCGAAAGCGUGGGGAGCAACAGGG